GUCGAACGAUGAAGCCCAGCUUGCUGGGUGGAUUAGUGGCGAACGGGCCCUUUCGGGUGAGUAACCUGCCCCUGACUCUGGGAUAAGCCCGGUUUACUGGGUCUAAUACCGGAUAUGACUUUUGACCGCAUGGUUGAGGGUGGAAAGAUUUAUCGGUUGGGGAUGGACUCGCGGCCUAUCAGCUUGUUGGUGAGGUAAUGGCUCACCAAGGCGACGACGGGUAGCCGGCCUGAGAGGGUGACCGGCCACACUGGGACUGAGACACGGCCCAGACUCCUACGGGAGGCAGCAGUGGGGAAUAUUGCACAAUGGGCGCAAGCCUGAUGCAGCGACGCCGCGUGAGGGAUGACGGCCUUCGGGUUGUAAACCUCUUUCAGUAGGGAAGAAGCGAAAGUGACGGUACCUGCAGAAGAAGCGCCGGCUAACUACGUGCCAGCAGCCGCGGUAAUACGUAGGGCGCAAGCGUUAUCCGGAUUUAUUGGGCGUAAAGAGCUCGUAGGCGGUUUGUCGCGUCUAUCGUGAAAGUCCGAGGCUCAACCUCGGAUCUGCGGUGGGUACGGGCAGACUAGAGUGAUGUAGGGGAGACUGGAAUUCCUGGUGUAGCGGUGAAA
rnacentral:rRNA from 1 species